ensembl:lncRNA
UUUCUCGGAGCCGUGCAGCUCUGUGCACUCACCCACGUGCUGUGGCCUCUAAAACGCAGCCCUUCCCCUCCGCGCGUUCACUGUUACCGUGCUUUACAAAACGUGCCAGGAAAAGCACUGAACUCCGCGUUACCUCUGCAGGCAAUCCCUCCUUUUUGGUUCACUUUACCACCUGUAGCUUCCCGGCAGAGCACGUCGGCUCUGUGCUGAGAGUGCUCGGAGGCACCAUCAGAGAGCAGCAGAGCUCCACACAAAGCCCUUCCCCUGCCCAGGCGGUGCUCCGUGCAGCCGGAGAGGCGUCGUUCCUUUGGGCGCUCUGGCCAUACACAGCCUGUUUGCCAGCCCUGCGAACAACCAGCGCCGCUCUGUUGCUUACCAGCAUCGCUCGAGGCUGUUUGACAGAGAUAAUAGCAGCUCCUGUCAGCAAAGCCUCCUGUCUCAUGGAGGGGUUUACCUCAGGGAACAGAAAGGACCGGAUUCUUCCUGCCUGCCGUCCUCGCCAGCCUCUGUUUUAUUCUUUAUAGAGGACAAACGGAGUCCAAUCCUGUUCAGAUUUCCGUGGAAACAGCUCUGUCCCCUCAGUACACUUCACUGAUUUCCAUUAGUUUGGGAGCAAGGAGUUGUUGCAGUUGAUUGGAAACCAUUUUGGCAUGGAUCGGAGGUGGGGUACAUAGCGAACACGUGAAGCUGACAGCAAGAGGCAGCCGAGCCCUGGAUUUUCAUCACCAAAAAUAAACACACUCAAAAAAACAGGGCUAGCUGUGAAGGAAAAGGCUCAGAUUGCUCACCUGACCCGGGCAGGGUGUGGGGCUUUGAGUGGGCAGGGUGUGGGACCUGCCCAUGGGACUGCCGAUGGGACUGCCUGCUGCUCCCCACCGUGCUCUGCCUCAGAAGGACGUGUGUCUGUGCUUGCACUCUGCUUAUCUAUUGAGCUUUUCAUCCAGUGAUCCCUAAUCACGUAGCAGACAUUAUUACAUUUAGCUUCAUAAACUCUUUUUGG